AAAUUCAAUUUAAUUUGAAUUUAAAUAAUUAUUUAAAAUUUUACAUAAUUAAUUCUAUCAAAAAAGAAAAUUAAAGUUUUAUUAUUGGUUAAGAAAAAAUUAAUUUUAUUAUAGUAUAUUAGUAUUGUGAAAGAAUUAAUAAUAUAUAAUUUUAAGAAAAAUUAAUUUUUUGUACCUUGUGUAUCAGGGUUUAUUAAAAAAAAUUUUAAAUUAAAUUAUCUCGAAUUUAAAAGAGUUAAUAAAAUAUUUUUUUUAUUGUUGAAUAAAUAUUAUAAAUAUUUUAUUAGAAAUGAAAUGUUAAUCGUUUUUAAAUAUAUCUAGUUUUUAAGGAAAAAAAUUUAAUUUUAUUAUUUUUAAUAUUUAAUUAAUUAAUAAUAAUAAAAUAUUACAAAUAAUUUAUGUUUUAAGGGAUGAGCUUUAAUACAAAUAUUUACAAAUUUAAUUUAAUAUAAAUAAUAAUAGGAUUAGAAGUUUUCAUUUUUAAAAAAAUGUUAUAAUUAAUUUUUAUAAGAUUAUGAUUUUUAUUAAGUUUUAAGUGUUUUAUUUAAAUAAAAGUUUAAAUAAUAAUAAUUUUGAAAUAAUGAUAAAAUUAGUAUAAUUUAAUUUUAAUUUUAAUUUUUAAUAUUAAGGUUAAAUAAAGGAAUUCGGCAAAAUAAAUUUUCCACCUGUUUAUUAAAAACAUGUCUUUUUGAAAAUAAUUUAAAGUCUAACCUGCCCACUGAGUUAUUAAAUGGCCGCGGUAUUUUGACCGUGCAAAGGUAGCAUAAUCAUUAGUUUUUUAAUUGAAAGCUGGUAUGAAGGGUUGGAUGAGAAAAUAACUGUCUCUAUUUAAUUUAUAUUAGAAUUUUAUUUUUAAGUUAAAAAGCUUAAAUUUUAUUAAAAGACGAGAAGACCCUAUAGAGUUUUAUAUAAUUUUUUUAUUAAAAAUUUUUAGUAUUUUAAUUUUUAGUUUUACUAUUAUAUUUAAUUGGGGUGAUUGAAAAAUUAACAAAACUUUUUUUAUAUAAAAUCAUUUAUUUAUGAAUAUAUGAUCCAUUAGUUGUGAUUAUAAGAUAAAAUUACCUUAGGGAUAACAGCGUAAUUUUUUUAGAGAGUUCAAAUCGAAAAAAAAGAUUGCGACCUCGAUGUUGGAUUAAAAUUUAUUUUUGGUGUAGAAGCUAAAAUAUUAGGUCUGUUCGACCUUUAAAAUUUUACAUGAUCUGAGUUUAGACCGGCGUGAGCCAGGUUGGUUUCUAUCUUUAAUUAAUUAAAAUAUUUUAGUACGAAAGGACCAAAUAGUUAAUAAAUUAUUUUAUAUUUUGAAUUAUAUUAAUUAUUUUGGCAGAUUAGUGCGAUAGAUUUAGAAUCUUUAUAUAUAAUUAUAUAUU
rnacentral:rRNA from 1 species